CAAAGGUUGACGGGACUAUUUAAAGAGGAAGAGAUAACAAAUCGGUCCUUUCGAUCCUACAGACUCUCUUGUCUGAAACGGCACCAAGAUGAUCCACUUGCAGGCAAUGAUCUAACUGGAAACGGACUGGAACAAUUCCAGAACGCUUUCUGACUAGAUGACUGCCCACAUGAUGAACCAUCUCGUAGCCAAAGGAUGACUUUGCCGUUUAGGCUAAUGCUUGCAUUUUCUUAUCAAUUCUUUUGGAGGAGUGGAGGAGGAGUCUCCCACGGGACUCGGCACUCGGGUCCAUUGCCCUUCUCCAGUGGCUCCUGAGCGGUUUUUAUUCUGAAAACAGCAUCAGUCCUCUGGUUGGGGUUCAGUGGACCUGCAGUGUACGGCGCCAGAUUCACGAGCUGCUAACGAAGCUCAGAAACUAGAAGCAACCAAAACAAACAAACACAACAAGAAGCCCCCUAUCCCUUUUCCCUGGGUCGGCUUCUGGUUGUCUGUGGCUUGGUUGGUGGGUCUUGAAGAUGGCCCACUGGAAAAAAACGUUCUUUACAAGGCUGAGUGCAACUUUCCAUAAAACGAAGACGAAAAAACCCCCAAUAAAAAUCUCACAAUAUUUAUCCGUCUGUGUUGUCUUUUUUUGUCACAGUAAUACAUUAAAAACUAAAGAACUAAACAGAGUCAAAAUAAUCCAUCAUCUUAAUUGAGCUAUUAAUCCGGCAUUGUUCUGAUAGAUGAUAUUAUAUAGCCUACUAUUGGAUAGCUACCUAUAAUUGUAAAGCAAUAUUAGAAGUGAUUAAUCUGUGAUAUGUCUUACAAGUGUAAAAAGACAAUUCUACACUGUACUGAUAUGAGUUGGGACCACACACUGUUUAGCAAAAUUGAGACUAUGAAUGGAUUGAGUUAUAUUGUCAAAUACUCCUCCAUUAUCUUGAAAAAUUAUUGUCUGUGCACUGACUGGAAACUACGUGUGCUUUUGUUUUUUAUUUGUUCUUUCAUGACUCAUCUGUUGACAAGACGAUUUCUUGGUAAUAAGUGGUCUAGUUUUUAUGGCAAUUCAAAUAACCAGCUGAAAUUUUUAUAGUGUUGGACUUUUAUAUUGGUGUAUUGUUAAAAUUAUUAACAAAUUGUUUUAUCGAUAUAUGGUCACAGUUAUAAACAAACUUUUAUAUUUGUAUACUAGUGCAUUUUGGAUCUAAUUCUCUAUGGGUCCGUUACUGUUUCUUCAUAAAUUUCCACAAUAUGUAUGUGGAUCUUUAGUCUUUAGAGUUUAAAUUAAACAUUUAGAAGCUCAAGAAGUACAAAAAAAUUGUGCAAAAUUACAGUUAAAAAACUGUUUUCAUAAAUACGGAAAAUUACUGUUUAUUCAUGUAACGUAUAUUUUCAGUUUUUUAACAGAGUAGAAAUACAGAUAGCUGAUCUUUAAAAUAUACAAAGUGAGUCACGAAACCUCCCAAACACAAUGUUGACGACUUGAGGUUGAAUCCUCCCUUGACAAAUAUGUUGAACUGAGUGGGUGAGUUUUCUUUUCUUUCCUAAUUGUAUUUAUGUAUUUAUAGAAUCAGAAAUAGACAGUACAGUAUAAUGAAUGUAGAUUUGCUAUACACAAAUUAUAAAAGGGAUUGUGGAAAGCUGUAUGAAUAAAUGACAGGAUGGAAAUAAUAAAUUGACACACAUGUAUCUACGAUAUACAGACUGAGAUAACUGUGAUGAAUUGUGUUAUUUUCAUUUUGUAAAUCAUAAGCAAAUGCUAAAAUCCCCUGCCAGCAUAGAUAUUCUUUCACUUUCAUUUAUCACGAAAAACAUGUAAUGUGUCAUGACUGGAUUGGCUACCACAAACAGCCAAUCAGGAGGCAGAUAUAAAGGAAAGUAUAAAUAAAGUAUGCAGAAUGUCUGCUCAAUAGAUUUCUUUAUAUUUGUCAAAAGAUUUGUCUACAAAUUUGCCUGGUAACCAACUGCUCUGAAUUUAAACAAAUCGUUAAUAUGAUCUCAUCAGUGGACAAUGAAGGAGAGGAUGAUGACGACGAUGAUGAUGAUGACCAAAGGGGUGUUGGAAUAAGCAACUGCUGCUAAGGGUAGAUGCUCCAUACACCCCACAACUAGUGUUAAGAAAGGUCAAAGGAGACACGCUGGACCAAGAACUGUGUCGUUCGAUGAUACAAACCGGCAGCCACAGUUCCUGUCGUGGCAAAGAGUCACGACCCCAAAAACCUCCCGCGCCAUGUAAGCACAUGGCAAACCGUGACGGUGACACAAAGACUGAAAAAUCCAUGGAAAAGAUGCCUCUCGCAUAUUUCCCGCUGAGCAGUGGCAGCAGCAUCUGUGUUCUUCAGAUUGGCUUUGCUUUUGUGCCUGUUUGUGCAACCCUGAAGAAACCAUGGAUAAAAGAAAGAAUGUACAUGGAAUGGUGGAAACCUGAUGGCUGAAGCUGCUGGUCCAAAGGUUUGAAGAUGUGAGGCAAUAAUCCAUACAGCAGUCUCAAACACCAUUGUGCUCUUGAGCAAAGCACUUGACUUCAUGUUAUUUCAGCAGGACUUUAACUGCGAUCGGUCUACUAGUCACUUAGAUGCAUCCUAAACAAACAGGAUGGGCUGGAUGGGCAACAUUUUUAUUUCAAAGGAUGCAUUUUGCUCAAAUCUACUGUACUGGGAGUCAGUGCCCUAUUCAAGCCCAUGUGUAAAUGUAAUAGUUUGUUAGAGAUAUUUUUCAAAGACUAUGGCUGCUUGGUCCAAAAUACUCUCCAGAAAAACUAGCAGAAGGUUUCUGGAGGGGCAGAGAUCAGGGUCAGAGGUAAAAGACCACUGCUUACUUUUAGAAUCUCCUCACCUCUAAAGACUUUUAUGCCGAAGUACUGUCACACUACUGGCAUUCAGCCAUAAGGAGCAUGUUUUGUGCGAGAUGAAACGCUCACCAGGACAGUCAACAAGCACAACAAUUCUGCAGGUUGUGCUUACAAAGUUGAACUCUCUGGGUCUGAUAUCUUGCAAACACACAUUACACCAUGACACACUGCCAAAUGCACAUGCACAGGUGUCGUCAGUGCUGUUAAACACAAGUAACACUUGUGAAUAUAAAUGAGAAAGCAAUGUGCAACUCAUGCAUUACUCUGUCCAAAUAAAAGGACUGAGGUCUAGCCUAAAAUGAAGCCCAACUGGUCACAACAUCAGAGGCUCUCGUCCUAUUGAAAUAUAAUUGUUGUACUUAGUUAUGUAGAAAGGGAUUAUUAGCGAAGUGAUCUGUAACGGUAAAUUAACAAUAAGUUAACUGCAGAUUUAUUUAUGUGCAUCUGUCUGCCCGUGACUGCAUCUCGUGCUAAUAAGCUACAUAGAAACUCCCCAUAAAAAAGUUGUGUACAAGGAUGGAUGUUUAAUAAAGCAGAAAAACACUUUUA